rnacentral:ncRNA from 1 species
UCCUUUAAAUAGGACACGUGUAUAAAAUUUAUACGCUCCCCUUACAAAAUUUGUGAGAGGGAGCGUUUUUUU